GCUUCUUCUGAUUUAGCGGCGGACGGGUGAGUAACACGUGGGCAACCUACCUAGUAGAUUGGGAUAACUCCGGGAAACCGGGGCUAAUACCGAAUAAUCCAUUUUGUCACAUGGCAAAAUGCUGAAAGGCGGUUUCGGCUGUCACUACUAGAUGGGCCCGCGGUGCAUUAGCUAGUUGGUGGGGUAAUGGCCUACCAAGGCAACGAUGCAUAGCCGACCUGAGAGGGUGAUCGGCCACAUUGGGACUGAGACACGGCCCAAACUCCUACGGGAGGCAGCAGUAGGGAAUCUUCCACAAUGGACGAAAGUCUGAUGGAGCAACGCCGCGUGAGUGAUGAAGGUUUUCGGAUCGUAAAACUCUGUUGUAAGGGAAGAACAAGUACGUUAGUAACUGAACGUACCUUGACGGUACCUUAUUAGAAAGCCACGGCUAACUACGUGCCAGCAGCCGCGGUAAUACGUAGGUGGCAAGCGUUGUCCGGAUUUAUUGGGCGUAAAGCGCGCGCAGGUGGUUUCUUAAGUCUGAUGUGAAAGCCCACGGCUCAACCGUGGAGGGUCAUUGGAAACUGGGAGACUUGAGUGCAGAAGAGGAAAGUGGAAUUCCAAGUGUAGCGGUGAAAUGCGUAGAGAUUUGGAGGAACACCAGUGGCGAAGGCGACUUUCUGGUCUGUAACUGACACUGA
rnacentral:rRNA from 1 species